rnacentral:rRNA from 1 species
UUGUCCCCUAAAUAGGGACUGGAAUGAACGGCUAAAUGAGGACAAAACUGUCUCUUACGGAUUAGCCAAUGAAAUUGAUCUUCCAGUACAAAAGCUGGAAUAAACCCAUAAGACGAGAAGACCCUGUGGAGCUUCAAAACCAAAACCAUUAAACAUGCUUCUUGGAUUUUCAGUUGGGGCGACUUUGGAGCAAAAAAAACCCUCCAAAACAAAAAUUUAUUUAUUAAGACCAACACACCAAAAACAAUUUUAUAGACCCAGCAGUAUCUAUUACUGUCUGACCAAUGAACCAAGUUACCCCAGGGAUAACAGCGCCAUCCUCUUCUAGAGUCCCUAUCGACAAGAGGGUUUACGACCUCGAUGUUGGAUCAGGACACCCAUAUAGUGCAGUCGCUAUAAAAGGUUCGUUUGUUCAACGAUUAAAGUCCU